rnacentral:sRNA from 20 species
AUCAGACGGCAGUAACAAAAUGUCGAAAGAUAGCAAAAGAAUCAGU